rnacentral:misc_RNA from 1 species
AGAAGCUACGCGCAGAAGAAGUUGAACAUGAAGACUUAGUUACCCUUUCUGCACCACCUGAAAUAUCUGAUUUACUCUGAUCUUGAAGUAUCACUGGUGCUGAUUUUCUUUCCCUAUUUCUAUUCCUCUCCUUGAAGUAAAAAAAACACUUCAUUUUCCCCCUCUUCACAGAAUUUCCAAGAUUCAAUUUUUUAAACUCCCACAGUCAAUGAACAGCCACUAAACUCCCAGAUAGGAAAUGGGGUUUUCUUGGUUGGUU